AGGCCUAACAGCGUCUCGUCGGCUCCAAGACAACGGGCCGCCUCUGGCACGACGUCUACGGCGGGCGCCGAGACCCAAAGUUCCUCGAGGCUGGAUCUCAGCUGACUGGAGCAAGAGAGACUCUCCUGCUUGCCUUGAAGAAGCCACCUGCUAUGAUGCCGCCUUUAGGGCCAGCGGUCUCACGUCCUAUAGGUGCAAGGAGCUGAAAUCUGCCAACAACCUGAAAGACCUUGGAAGCGGAUCUUUCCCCAGGAAAACUUCUGAUGAGGCCUUAGCCCCAGGAAAUAUCUGGAUUGCAGCCUGGUUGUGACCCUAAGCAGAAAACCCAGCUUUGAUAAAAUAGUGUCCAAGUUAUGAGAGAGCCACAUGUCUAGGAACUGAGGGCAGCCUUUAAGAGCUGAGAGCCAGCAAGAAAAUAAUAACUCCAGUCAUCCAACCACAAGGAACCAAUUCUGCUAAGGAACCUGAUUGAGCCUGGAAGGGGACCUCAAACCUCAGAUGAGAUCACAUCCCUGCAGACACCUUGAUUCCAGGGCUUCCCUGGUGGCGCAGUGGUUAAGAAUCUACCUGCCAAUGCAGGGGACACACGUUUGAGCCCUGGUUCUGGAAGAUCCCACAUGCCGUGGAGCAACUAAGCCCGUGCACCACAACUGCUGAGCCUGCGCUCUAGAGCCCGCAAGCCACAACUACUGAAGCCUGCGUGCCUAGAGCCCGUGCUCUGCAACAGGAGAAACCACCGCAAUGAGAAGCCUGCACACUGCCACGAAGAGUAGCCUUCGCUCGCUGCAACUAGAGAAAGCCCACACAUAGCAACGAAGACCCAAUGCAGCCAAAAAUAAAUAAAUAAAAUAAAUUUAUUUUAAAAAUUAUAUACUAUAUAUACUCCUCUGUAUCUGGCUUCUUUCAUUUUGCAGAAUGUUUUGAGGUUCAUCCAUAUUGAUACAUGUAUCAGUAAUUUGCUCCUUUUUACUGCUGUCUUAUUUUGCAUUCUAUGGAUAUACUGCAGUUUGUUUCACAUGUUGGACAUUUGGGUCAUUUCCAGUUAUCAUUAAUAAAGUUGCCAAUAGCAAUCAUGCAUAAGUCUUUUUGUGGAUAUAGAUUUUAAUUUCUUUUGAGUAAAUUCCUAGGAGUGGAAUUACUGGGUCGUAUGGUAGGUGUAUUUUUAACUGCCAUCUGUUUUCCAUAACAGUUGUACCAUUUUACAUUCCCACCAACAAUGUAGCUCCAUCAUAUGUCAAUCUGUUCAAUUUUGCCAUUCCAUUGGGUAUGUAGUGGUACCUCGUUAUGGUUUUAACAUGUAUUUCCCUGAUGACUAAUGGUAUUAAUCAUCUUUUCAUGUGCUGAUUGAACAUUUGUAAAUCCUUUUUGUAAAUUGUCUGUUUAUGUCAUUUCACAUUUAAAAAAUGUUGUUUGGUUUCGUAUUAUUGAAUUUUGUAAGAGCAAAGUCCGUUGUUAGAUAUGUGUAUUGAGAAUAUCUUCUCUCAGUCUCUGGCUUGCCUUUCCAUUUCUUAAUUUUUUUCUUCCAAAGAGCAGAAGUGUUUAGUUCUUAAUGUUAAUGAAGUUUAAUUGAUAAUUUUUUCUUUUCUAUUUAAUAUUUUCUGUGUACUGAGAAAUCUUUCUCAACCCGAGAUCACAACAGUUUUCUUCUAGAAGUCUUAACAGUUUUAGAUUUUCAUUUAUGUAUAUGAUCUGUUUCAGGUUAAUUUUAAUGUAUGAUAUGAGGAAAGGUAGAGGUUCAUUUUUGUCCCUCAUGAGAUUCCUUUAUUUUCUAUAUGAAUAUUCAUUUGUUCUAGCACCACUUUUUUUGUUGAAGUAUAGUUGAUAUACAAUAUUAUUGGGUUGGCCAAAAAGUGCCUUUGGUGUUUAAGUAAAAAUAAAAGACACAUUUUUCAUUUUCACCAAUAAUUUUAUUGAACAACAGAUUCAUCGUUUUGUUCCACUACCUUCUGCCAUUUUUCAGGCAACUUCAUAAUUCUCUCUUCCCAAAACUUUUUAUCUUUUUGAGCAAAGAACUCUUCCAGGUGCCUUUUACAGUCUUCCAGGGAAUUGAAAUUUUUUCCAUUAAGAG